rnacentral:other from 1 species
CGUUCUCUGCCGUGACCGACCGCGUACGAAAUCAUUUGCCUUGACCCUAAAUAACGACCCCGGGAGUGCGAUACAGCGGCUGGUGUGCAAGCCCGCCAAGAGCGGAAAGCCUGAAGUCCUGUCAGCCCUCCCACCUGAUCCUCGGGAUCAAGGUCGUUUCGUGCGUAUCGGCGCGGCGGAGGAUGC